GUGGAUUAGAUACCCUGGUAGUCCACGCCGUAAACGGUGGGCGCUAGGUGUGGGGACCCUUCCACGGUCUCCGCGCCGCAGCUAACGCAUUAAGCGCCCCGCCUGGGGAGUACGGCCGCAAGGCUAAAACUCAAAGGAAUUGACGGGGGCCCGCACAAGCGGCGGAGCAUGCGGCUUAAUUCGAUGCAACGCGAAGAACCUUACCUAGGCUUGACAGUUGGGGAAAUCUGGCAGAGAUGUCAGGUCCGCAAGGGCCCCAAAACAGGUGGUGCAUGGCCGUCGACAACU
rnacentral:rRNA from 1 species